rnacentral:rRNA from 1 species
UACGAAGGGGGCUAGCGUUGCUCGGAAUCACUGGGCGUAAAGGGCGCGUAGGCGGCGUUUUUAAGUCGGGGGUGAAAGCCUGUGGCUCAACCACAGAAUGGCCUUCGAUACUGGGACGCUUGAGUAUGGUAGAGGUUGGUGGAACUGCGAGUGUAGAGGUGAAAAUUCGUAGAUAUUCGCAAGAACACCGGUGGCGAAGGCGGCCAACUGGACCAUUACUGACGCUGAGGCGCGAAAGCGUGGGGAGCAAACAGG